GACGAACGCUGGCGGCGUGCCUAAUACAUGCAAGUCGAACGAACUCUGGUAUUGAUUGGUGCUUGCAUCAUGAUUUACAUUUGAGUGAGUGGCGAACUGGUGAGUAACACGUGGGAAACCUGCCCAGAAGCGGGGGAUAACACCUGGAAACGGAUGCUAAUACCGCAUAACAACUUGGACCGCAUGGUCUGAGUUUGAAAGAUGGCUUCGGCUAUCACUUUUGGAUGGUCCCGCGGCGUAUUAGCUAGAUGGUGGGGUAACGGCUCACCAUGGCAAUGAUACGUAGCCGACCUGAGAGGGUAAUCGGCCACAUUGGGACUGAGACACGGCCCAAACUCCUACGGGAGGCAGCAGUAGGGAAUCUUCCACAAUGGACGAAAGUCUGAUGGAGCAACGCCGCGUGAGUGAAGAAGGGUUUCGGCUCGUAAAACUCUGUUGUUAAAGAAGAACAUAUCUGAGAGUAACUGUUCAGGUAUUGACGGUAUUUAACCAGAAAGCCACGGCUAACUACGUGCCAGCAGCCGCGGUAAUACGUAGGUGGCAAGCGUUGUCCGGAUUUAUUGGGCGUAAAGCGAGCGCAGGCGGUUUUUUAAGUCUGAUGUGAAAGCCUUCGGCUCAACCGAAGAAGUGCAUCGGAAACUGGGAAACUUGAGUGCAGAAGAGGACAGUGGAACUCCAUGUGUAGCGGUGAAAUGCGUAGAUAUAUGGAAGAACACCAGUGGCGAAGGCGGCUGUCUGGUCUGUAACUGACGCUGAGGCUCGAAAGUAUGGGUAGCAAACAGGAUUAGAUACCCUGGUAGUCCAUACCGUAAACGAUGAAUGCUAAGUGUUGGAGGGUUUCCGCCCUUCAGUGCUGCAGCUAACGCAUUAAGCAUUCCGCCCGGGGAGUACGGCCGCAAGGCUGAAACUCAAAGGAAUUGACGGGGGCCCGCACAAGCGGUGGAGCAUGUGGUUUAAUUCGAAGCUACGCGAAGAACCUUACCAGGUCUUGACAUACUAUGCAAAUCUAAGAGAUUAGACGUUCCCUUCAGGGACAUGGAUACAGGUGGUGCAUGGUUGUCGUCAGCUCGUGUCGUGAGAUGUUGGGUUAAGUCCCGCAACGAGCGCAACCCUUAUUAUCAGUUGCCAGCAUUAAGUUGGGCACUCUGGUGAGACUGCCGGUGACAAACCGGAGGAAGGUGGGGAUGACGUCAAAUCAUCAUGCCCCUUAUGACCUGGGCUACACACGUGCUACAAUGGAUGGUACAACGAGUUGCGAACUCGCGAGAGUAAGCUAAUCUCUUAAAGCCAUUCUCAGUUCGGAUUGUAGGCUGCAACUCGCCUACAUGAAGUCGGAAUCGCUAGUAAUCGCGGAUCAGCAUGCCGCGGUGAAUACGUUCCCGGGCCUUGUACACACCGCCCGUCACACCAUGAGAGUUUGUAACACCCAAAGUCGGUGGGGUAACCUUUUAGGAACCAGCCGCCUAAGGUGGGACAGAUGAUUAGGGUG
rnacentral:rRNA from 2 species